UCAACAUGAACAUCACUCUUCUGUUCCUUGUUGUUCUAUUGGCUGUCUGCGGUGGCACUGCCACUGGAUCCUCUUCUGCUCACAGUUGUAUUCUUCAGGAUCUGCAGAGAGACAUAUAUAUAUAUAUAUAUAUAGUCGAUCAGCAGAUUGCUGUUGGCAUUAUAUGGCAUAAAAGACUAUUUCUGGUCACAACCAUAGGAGCAAAGACGGUGAAGGAUGGUAUCAAGUUGAUAUUACUGGUGGCCGAUCGAAGUACGAAAUAUAAGCAAGCAAUUAACUCGAUUCAAGUGAUGUCCAAGAUCGAAGAUGGACACAGACGCUGAUACCGAUGCGUAGAUAAGAGUCAUACUUGUCUCAGCAUGUUGUUCUCGUUCUGCAAUGUGGACAUCCUCUCCUCCAGCUCCGAGUUCUUGGCCUCCAAAUCCUUCACCUUGGCCUCCAGAUCAUUCAGAUAAGCUUUCUUCCGCUCCCUUGCCUGCUGAGCCGAUACUCUAUUCCUCAGCAACCUUUCUCGGACAUAUAUAACCAAAUAGCUCAUCAGAUAAUAGCGGCAGGCAGAACACACACAUCAAGAUUCGCUCAAAAGAAGAUUACAAGAGAUCAUGCGCAUAACGAAGAUUACAAGGAUGAGGGAGGGUGCACAACCUUUUGAGACGCUUGUGCUCUUUGUCGGCGGGGCUCCUCCCCCUCC
rnacentral:lncRNA from 1 species